rnacentral:rRNA from 1 species
AUUAGCUGAGAGGUGGUGCAUGGCCGUCGUCAGUUUCGUACUGUGAAGCAUCCGUGUUAAGUCCAGGCAACGAGCGAGACCCACGUCCACAGUUCGCCAGCAUACCCUCCGGGGUGAUGGGUACACUGUGGAGACCGCCGCUGCUAAAGCGGAGGAAGGAGUGGGCAACGGUAGGUCAGUAUGCCCCGAAUCUCCCGGGCUACACGCGGGCUACAAUGGUUGGUACAAUGGGCAUCUACCCCGAAAGGGGAAGGAAAUCUCUUAAAGCCAAUCGUAGUUCGGAUUGAGGGCUGCAACUCGCCCUCAUGAAGCUGGAAUCCGUAGUAAUCGCGUUUUCAACAGAACGCGGUGAAUACGUCCCUGCUCCUU